CUUCGACGAUUCAACAUCAAUGUCUCCGCCAUUGUUAAAAAAAAAAAAAUUUAUUCUCCCUCUAAACUUUCUACCUCCCGUGUCUCUUUAUCUCUUCUUUUUCUCUCCCUCCCGUUGAGCGUUUCUCCCUUAAUCCAAACAAUGAAUUUUCGGUUUACAUUAAACCUAUUAACUCCCACGAACUCUCUGUCUCCCUUGAUUUACAACCAAAACUUGAUGUGUAUUCAAACCGAUUAACGCCUCAACCCCUAUAAACAGGAUAUCAUUGAGACUGGAAUCAAUCUUCACUCGAAAACCUAGAAAGCUCUUUUGAAAAUAAUGGCUUCAUCGGAUGUUGGGUUUCUUCAAUCAGCCCUCAGCCACUUUGACGCUCUCAGACAGCAACGACCAUGUUACACUCAGGCUUUCUUUUUGUUAGGUAUUUGUGGCUUUUAAAUAGCACCAGCGAAUUGUAACUCUGUUGUCUCCGUGAAGACAGAGGAAGUUGAUUUCAUUUUGUAAAGCUUGGAUUGUUUGGGUCCUCAAACAAAGUAGAUGAUCGUUCGUCUUUUGCACCGGUUGCAGCAGGAAGUUGGACAAAUCCGACACUUCUCUUUGGUGCAACAUAUGUGUUUCUUCCAAUGUUACUGGGUUAUCAGCAACGAUAGUGCCAUGUUUGUAAUCUUCCACAGGGAGAAAACUAAGCUCAUCAACCAAGAUGCACCCACUCUUGCUCUUCGGGAGAUUCGGUUUUACUCCUACACUACAUCGGUCAUGCGUUUAAAAUUGUCACAUUAUCUCUGAAUGCAUCUCGAAGCUCUAACCUAUAAUAGAUGAGUGGCACUGGAGGGCAGGAGCUACGAAAAUGCCUUGAGGAGCUAACUGGCAAGGACUACGUUUUCUAGAUUCGUGUCAGUCCAUGAAAUUUCACCCUUAACCACCAUACCUUCGCCUCUGCAAUUUGUGAUGAUAGUUUCUUCGGCACUCAAUGAGAGGUAGCAGCAGGAACCAAGCUCCAGUCGUUGACAUGGAAGGUGGACAAGCAACAUCAUCAGCCAGCUACGGUUGAUGACUAUGGGAGUCGAUGGAGCAAAUCUUCCCAACUUUGAAGACAAAGAAAAAAGCUUUUGUCUUCAAAGUCUCGAUCAAACUGUCAAUCCCAUUUAGCUUUUGUUGCUUUUAAAAUUCAUACAUUCCUAUGUUUUUCCUAUUUUACUUUGAUUUUCUGAAUACUACCCCCAC